rnacentral:lncRNA from 1 species
GGAUGAUUUGCCACAAAUGGGAGCCUUGUUGGCCUGUCCUUCGCUGUGUUUGUCAUCCAUUUAUUUAUGCUGGGCUUUCGGCAUGAAUUUUCAACAAAGUUAGCAAGGAAUUCUUGUUGGGUUCGCUUUUCACCUGCAGUAUUGUGCUCCUGUCUAAUCUCUAGAGUCGAUUCCCAUCACAAGUUGUAACGUGACAUGAUCUAUCCCUGCAAGAUCCGGAAAAUUCAAAGCUUAGAGAUUGGCUCGAGUUUCUGGUUGAACUGAUGAAAAUUUUAAUUGGAGUUCUUAUUCAAUCUGUUUAGA